rnacentral:rRNA from 1 species
GAUGAACGCUGGCGGCGUGCCUAAUACAUGCAAGUCGAGCGAACAGACGAGGAGCUUGCUCCUCUGACGUUAGCGGCGGACGGGUGAGUAACACGUGGAUAACCUACCUAUAAGACUGGGAUAACUUCGGGAAACCGGAGCUAAUACUGGAUAAUAUAUUGAACCGCAUGGUUCAAUAGUGAAAGACGGUUUUGCUGUCACUUAUAGAUGGAUCCGCGCCGCAUUAGCUAGUUGGUAAGGUAACGGCUUACCAAGGCAACGAUGCGUAGCCGACCUGAGAGGGUGAUCGGCCACACUGGAACUGAGACACGGUCCAGACUCCUACGGGAGGCAGCAGUAGGGAAUCUUCCGCAAUGGGCGAAAGCCUGACGGAGCAACGCCGCGUGAGUGAUGAAGGUCUUCGCAUCGUAAAACUCUGUUAUUAGGGAAGAACAAAUGUGUAAGUAACUAUGCACGUCUUGACGGUACCUAAUCAGAAAGCCACGGCUAACUACGUG